rnacentral:lncRNA from 9 species
GGGAUGCCUCCCUACCCCCUGGCCUCCUCAGGUUUCAGAAAGCACGAGUGUGUGCAGGAACAGCGUGCUUUGCCCAGGUCACGCGCGGCAGAACAGGGCACCUGGGGCCAGGCGGGCAGGGGUGCGGCUCUCUGUAGGGAUGUGUGGCCCGUGGGGUCCCCUAGUCCUGCAGGGCCUGAUGGGAGGGAAGGGGGAGCCCCUGCCCUUCCCCUGCUUCUUCUUGGUACCACUUCCUCUCUUCCUGAUCCCUUCCAGAUCUGCACCCUGGCCAUACAGCCAGCCCAGCGGCAGCUGAGAGCCAGUGCUGUCAUCAAGCCUUACAAGUUGUAUGAGAAGCUAAUCUUGCCUUAGAAAGUGCUGGAGCUUUUCCGAAGGGUAAUGAGUGGUGAGUAGGGGUGGGGAGGGGGGGAAGGAGACACCCCGCCUGGUGGUGGUGGUGGUGGCAGCAGAGUGGGGGCUGGCCAGCUGCCUCUCUGGCGUCCUUUCCCAGGCAGUGGUGUCCAGCCCCACAUCAGACCUCUUAGGAGCUGAAUUGACUCCCCCCUGGCCCAAAUUCAUUUAUCGAAGCUCUGACACCCCGCCCCCGGGACCUUAGAGUGGAACUUUGGGAGACGGGGGUCUUUAAAGAGCGAAUUAUGUUCAGAUGAGUGUGGACCCUCAUCUGCUAUGACUGGUGUCCUUUAUCAGAAGAGGCGAUUAGGGCACAGACACAGAGGGACAAACAUGUGAGGACACAGAGAGAAGACAGCUUCUGCAAGCUAAGCAGAGAGGCCUCAGAAAGAACCAGCCCUGCCAACUUGAUCUUGGGCCUCUAGCCCCCAGGAUGGUGAGCCUAUGGUGCCCAUCAUAAAAGGUGAUGGCAAGAAGGGCCAUUCUGUAGAAAGUCGUUGGAGCCAUACCACGGCCCCCCACCCCUGCUGAGCAUCCCACCAACCUGGGAGCAUCAUUUAUUGAAAUAUUAACUUGGGGUUCCUCUCUCCUUUGGCCUGCCUGCACCCCCUUGCCAGCACAGCACCCUGCUUUGUAUGUCCUGGCCUUGGGAACGGAUGGAACCUGCACAGUGUGUCUUCUCUGAUGCCAGGGUGGGUGGAGGUGGGCAGAGAGGUAGGAGUUCACAGACCAGUGAAUCUGAUGGGGUUCCCUAAGGAUAGUAAUACUAAUAAAAUAAUAAUAAUAACAUCAGAGCCUCCUUGAAGGCUUUGGCGAAUGUUGCCUCAAGAGCCCUACCCUGGAGUUCCCUCUGUGGCACAGGGGUUAAGGAUCCAGCGUUGCCACAGCUGAGGCAUGCGUUGCAGCUGCGACCCGGAUUCAAUUCCUGUCCCUGGAACAACGGUGGGUGCAGCGACAGGUGCAGCUGAAAAAGAAAAGAAAAAAAAAAAAGGAAAAAAGAAGAAAAAGAAAAAAAAGGCCUAUCCUGACCACCCUAUUUAAAAUUUGCACCCCUUUCUUCUGAUUCAAUUACCCUGCUUUUUUUUUUUUUUUAAAUAGAGUUGAUCAACUCCUCGUGCAAUAUUUAAUUUACUUUUACUACGUUGGCUAUACCAUGUCUGCCAGCUCUCUCCCCUCCCCAGGAUUAAGUCCCACACAGAGCAAGGUCUUGGUCCUCUUUGUUCAUGCAAAACACAUUUUCUAAGAAUCUAGAGUGGAGUUCCCGUCAUGGCUCAGUGGUUAAUGAAUCCGACUAGGAACCAUGAGGUUGCAGGUUUGAUCCCUGGUCUUGCUCAGUGGGUUAAGGAUCCAGCGUUGCUGUGGCUGUGGUGUAGGCCGGGGGCUACAGCUCCAAUUCGACCCCUAGCCUGGGAACCUCCAGAUGCCGUGGGAGCGGGCCUUGAAAUACAAAAAAAAAAAAAGAAAAGCCAAAAAUAAAAUAAAGUAAAAGUCUAGAGUAAGGCCGGCACAGGAAGGGGUUCGUUAACUGAAUUAAAUAGUGAUGUUUCCUGAGAACUGACUCUUAGGGGCUGAAUUGUUGUCCUUUCCCAAAUUCAUAGGCUGAAGGCCUAACAGCCAGUACCUCCAAGGGUGGCUGUGGAGACGGGGACGGGGUCUUUGAGGAGGUAACGGAGCUAACGUGAGGUCCUCAGAGCACUCUGGUCCAGUAUGACCUGUGUCCUUAGAAGAAGAGGAAAUCGGAGUUGCCGUCGUGGCGCACUGGUUAACGAAUCCGACUAGGAACCAUGAGGUUGCGGGUUCGGUCCCUGCCCUUGCUCAGUGGGUUAACGAUCCGGCGUUGCCGUGAGCUGUGGUGUAGGUCGCAGACGCGGCUCGGAUCCCGUGUUGCUGUGGCUCUGGCGUAGGCCGGUGGCUACAGCUCCGAUUCAACCCCUAGCCUGGGAACCUCCAUAUGCCGCGGGAGCGGCCCAAAGAAAUAGCAAAAAGACAAAAAAAAAAAAGAAGAGGAAAUCAGGACACAGACACAUGGAGAAGGAAGACCCCGUGAAGACAGAGAGAGAGAGGCCAUGCUGUAUCCAUGAGGAUGUGAACCCGACCAGCAUCCAUGAGGACGAGGGUUGGAUCCCUGGACUCUCUCAGUGGGUCAAGGAUCCAGCAUUGCCAUGAGCUCUGGUGUAGGUUGCAGAUGUGGCUCGAAUCUGACAUUGAUGUGGCUGUGGUGUAGGCUGGUGGCCACAGCUCUGAUUCAACCCCUAGCCUGGGAACUUCUCUAUGCUGCAGGUGCGGCCCUAAAAAGACCAAAAAAAAAAAAAAAAAAAAAAAAGAAGAUACGCAGGGAGAGAAGCAAGCCACCAAGCCACCUUCAAGCCAUGGAGAGAGGCCUCAGAGGAAACCACCCUGCUGACACCCUGAUGGCAGGCUUCCAGCCUCCUGAAACGUGAGAAAAUAAACUUCUACAGUUGAAGCAUCCAGCCUGCGGGCCUUUGUUACUGCAGGCCUAGCAAGUGAAGGCGGCCACCAUGCCUAGCUCUGUUUGAAGGGCUCUUUACGUUGUCUCAUUUGAUCUUAACCACAACCUGAAGAGAUAAGUCUUUGCUUCUCAGACACAGAAACUGAGGUCCAGGAAGUGAUGAUGAGGAGCCUGGGGACAGCUACAUCUCAGGGUGCUGGGCCUCCUGGCGCUGACGGGGAGGGAGCCCCAGCUGCUGGGUCAGCAGCUGGGGCCCCCUCCUUAUCUGGAGCUGUGUGGGCAUCAGGCCUGUCCUCCAGCUUCUCCGCUCCCAAUGUCGCCCCUAAACGGGCCUCUGUGGGACCCCCCUGCACCCCCACCCCCACCUCUCCCAGCAGCUUUGUGCAGUCCUUGAUCUGAGCUGUGCUGGCGUUAGCAAAAGAAAUAAGCCUCUGUGGUAUGACUUCAGAUACCAAGGCCAGAGGAGGGAGGAGAAGUAAGACAGUUUUGGGGGGAAAGCAUUUCCUCUGUGUCCCUUGAAACAGCCAGUCCUGAUGUCCUGCCCUGCAGGCCUGCUCAGAGGCAGAUGCCCUAAGACGGGGGUGUGAGGAGCCCACGAUUCUCCAGCUACCACCUCCAGGUGGGACGACUCUAGUGGUUCGUAUUGAAGAUGCCAAGCCUUGUCCCGAGCGCAGGAUGUAAUUUCUCAUUGAAUCCUUUGAGCAGCCUGGCCAGGCAGUCGCCGACAUUCUCACCAUUGAACAGGUGGGGAAGCUGAGGCUUAGAGAGCUCGUGUGACUGUUAGGUGUUCGGGCUGGGAUCCUGGCUGAUUCCAGUGCUGGGGCCCUUCACCAUUAACUGACACCGGCUGUAUACCCUGCCAUGAGCUGCCUUAGGCUGGAGUUGGUCAGGCCCCGUGCCCCAAACCCUUGCUCUAGAGUAUUAGGAAAGGAAUUCGUGGGAAAGAGGACGGGCGCUCUGACAAUGAGCGUGACAAAGGCCUGAACCCUUGAACACGUGGUCGGUACCCUCCUCUGCCUCUCCCCACCCCACCUCAAUCGCUUCUCCCUGGGAGCUGGGCUGGUCUCCUCUGUCUGACUCUUCCCCCUCCGAGGCCAUCCCGUGCUCAUCUCAGCCAGGGUCACCGGGAGGUGGAGGUACCCCUGCCGCCAGCUCUCUGUCAUCAGUAGCUGGCUGUGGGACCGCCUGGCUAGGCCACAGCAGAGGAUGGGGGGAUGGCGCAGGCCUUCCCAGAGGAACGAGGACAGCCCGGUGACAGGGUGAAGCCAGGCCUGAGGGCCCUGGUGGUGGCCCACCCCCGCUCUGCCCUCGGGACCCCUCCCCGUGGCCUCCAGAACUGGUACCCUUUCCUCGUCAGCGACAGCGCAGGUAUUUCUCUUUGUGCUGAAGGGGUCUUCUGAGACCCUCUGACCAUGAGCGUGUAAGUGUGGUUUCUGGAAUCUGGCUGGAAACUGCUCCCCUCCCCUGCCGGCCUCACAGCCCUGGACUCUCUUUGGGUUGCAGUCUGGGUGAAGGUGAACCGGCAGGCCCUUCUCCGCUCCCUCUCCAGAGCCAGAGGGCAGUGGCCUGUGACCAGCCGCCUCUCCCCAUGUGCAUGUGACAGACUGGCAGGGGUGGCCUGCCCCCGCCGCCCCCAUGCCUGCUGUGCCCUCUGUGUGUGUAGGGGGCUUAGGGAUGGAGCCCAUGUGCCAGAGAUCAUGGUCGGACCAGCCUGCCCCCGCAGUGUCUGCCCCCAACAGGACAGGAAGGUGGCUUGGCACAGGAGGAAGGCAGUAGUGUCAACGGGCUGGGACGCAGAGGCAUGUGGAUUGGGUGGCCUCGGCGUGAAGCCAGAGGGCAUGAGGGCUGCCCAAGGCCAUGCCCGCUUGCCUGAAUCUGAGGUAAGCGGCAGGGUCCCAGCUCCAGCUGCACUCGAGAUGCCUCUGGCUGCCCAUCUGGGGGCCUGGGGUGUCCUGGGCUGAUGGAGGGUCACAGUGAGGGAGAGGGGGUGUCCUUGCACAUCCUGAUGGGGCUCUCCUGGCAGAACCUCACCUCCAACCACACAUACCCUUCUUUACAGGCUGGCUUCGGGGCUCUUCUUCAGAAAAAGUGGUGUCACUGCCUUUCCAUCUGAACCUGCAUCCUCUAAACCCCUAUCUUCACUGAUCAGACACCCCACACCCAGUUUCUCAUUUUCAGGAUGAUUCUGCAGGUCUAGAGCUUAAAAUCUGCUGCUUUCUGAAAAGGCGCUUUCUGUCUCCCCUGGGAAGUGGCCGACACCUGCCUCGUGAUUCCACAGGACACCUUUGGCUACUUAGAGCUGAAAGGGGCCGAAGGAGAGGCCCCAGGGCCUGAGACAAACAGGG